AUUGAACGCUGGCGGCAUGCCUUACACAUGCAAGUCGAACGGCAGCACGGGGGCAACCCUGGUGGCGAGUGGCGAACGGGUGAGUAAUACAUCGGAACGUGUCCUGUAGUGGGGGAUAGCCCGGCGAAAGCCGGAUUAAUACCGCAUACGCUCUACGGAGGAAAGGGGGGGAUCUUAGGACCUCCCGCUACAGGGGCGGCCGAUGGCAGAUUAGCUAGUUGGUGGGGUAAAGGCCUACCAAGGCGACGAUCUGUAGCUGGUCUGAGAGGACGACCAGCCACACUGGGACUGAGACACGGCCCAGACUCCUACGGGAGGCAGCAGUGGGGAAUUUUGGACAAUGGGCGAAAGCCUGAUCCAGCAAUGCCGCGUGUGUGAAGAAGGCCUUCGGGUUGUAAAGCACUUUUGUCCGGAAAGAAAACGCCGUGGUUAAUACCCGUGGCGGAGGACGUACCGGAAGAAUAGC
rnacentral:rRNA from 1 species